GACGAACGCUGGCGGCGUGCUUAACACAUGCAAGUCGAGCGAUGAAGUUUUCUUCGGGAAACGGAUUAGCGGCGGACGGGUGAGUAACACGUGGGUAACCUGCCUCAUAGAGUGGAAUAGCCUUUCGAAAGGAAGAUUAAUACCGCAUAAUGUUGAAAGAUGGCAUCAUCAUUCAACCAAAGGAGCAAUCUGCUAUGAGAUGGACCCGCGGCGCAUUAGCUAGUUGGUGGGGUAACGGCCUACCAAGGCGACGAUGCGUAGCCGACCUGAGAGGGUGAUCGGCCACAGUGGGACUGAGACACGGCCCAGACUCCUACGGGAGGCAGCAGUGGGGAAUAUUGCACAAUGGGGGAAACCCUGAUGCAGCAACGCCGCGUGAGUGAUGAAGGUUUUCGGAUCGUAAAGCUCUGUCUUUGGGGAAGAUAAUGACGGUACCCAAGGAGGAAGCCACGGCUAACUACGUGCCAGCAGCCGCAGUAACAC
rnacentral:rRNA from 1 species